AGUGAACGCUGGCGGUAGGCUUAACACAUGCAAGUCGAACGGCAGCACAGUUAGAGCUUGCUCUUACGGGUUGCGAGAGGCGGACGGGUGAGGAAUACAUCGUACUCUACUUUUUCGGGGGGGCUAACGUAGGGAAACUUACGCUAAUACCGCAUACGACCUACGGGUGAAAGCAGGAGAUCUUCGGACCUUGCGCGAUUGAUUGAGCCGAUGUCGGAUUAGCUAGUUGUCGGGGUAAAGGACCACCAAGGCGACGAUCCGUCGCUGGUCUGAGAGAAUGGUCGGCGACACGGGAGGUGGGACGCGGUCCAGGCUCCUACGGGAGGGAGCAGUGGGGAAUAGUGGACAGUGGGCGCAAGCCUGGUCCAGCCAGACCGCGUGGGAGAAGAAGGCCUUCGGGUGGUAAUGCCCUUUUGUUGGGAAAGAAAAGCAGCAGGUUGAUACGCCGCUGUUCUGACGGUACCCAGAGAAUAAGCACCGGCUAACUUCGUG
rnacentral:rRNA from 1 species